UCCCAGGUAGCUCAGCUGGUAAAGAAUCUGUCUGCCAUGCGGGAGACCCUGGUUUGAUUCCUGGGUUGGGAA
rnacentral:tRNA from 1 species